CCCUGUUACGACUUCACCCCCAAUCAUGAGCUGUACCUUGGAAGGCUGCCUCCUUGCGGUUAGCACACCUGCUUCUAGUACAACUCACUUUCGUGAUGUGACGGGCGGUGUGUACAAGGCCCGGGAACGUAUUCACGGCGUCAAUCUGAUACGCCAUUACUAGCGAUUCCGGCUUCAUGCAGUCGAGUUGCGACUGCAAUCCGAACUGAGCAGAGUUUUUUCCGAUUAGCUCCCCCCUCGCGGGUUGGCAACGGUUUGUGCCCUGCAUUGUAACACGUGUGAAGCCCUGGACAUAAAGGCCAUGCGGACUUGACCCCAUACCACCCUUCCUCCUCGUUAUCCGGACCAUCCCAGUAAAUUUCCUCCUUUCGGAAUGCCUCCUGAGGGGUUGNCANCGNUACNGACCUCCCNCCCACGGCNAGGAGUACUUACAAAAAACUGAAGGCACACCUGCUGAGUGUAGCGCAAG
rnacentral:rRNA from 1 species